ensembl:lncRNA
CAUCAACUCACUGAACUAAGAAAACAAAGCUCGGUCCGGCGACGAGUGCCAGUUGAUAGUUAGCGCGGAUUAUUUUGAGGAUUUUAACGAUGGGUAUUCAUGGCCUCCCCCCUGCUGGAUGAGCCACAUUUGGAUGUGCUGUAAAACCAGGGGAAGCUAUAGAAGAAGAUGUAUGGCCACUAAACCCCAAGUGCGUGAUGGUUAUGCUCCUUCAUGCAGCAUUUGUUCUUGGAGCAGCUGAAACCUGCCAUAUUUCAUACUGGCACAUGUGACGAGAUGUUUACUGCAAGCAAACUCAAGCAAAGGUCACUUUCUUCCCCUUUACUGCCAAGAGCUGUCACACGCCACAUUCCUGCGCAAACAUCCCAUGCAGAAAAAAAAAAAAAUACAGCACAGCUCGGUGUCCAGUAGACAACGCCUGUGGAUUGUUUCUAUUUAUUAUGCAAAUGUUAAAACAUAUCACUAAUUGGUUUUAUGCAUGAGUGGCAUCUUUGAAGCAAAUGUCUGGCUGCUGGUUGACACGCACAUAUUUAACAUAAUGGGUUUUCCUAUUGCCGUCUGUCUGUGCAAUCGGUAUAUUGGAUGGAGACUAAAUACACAGGACAUUCAUUUUAACAAGAAGUUAUAUUGUGACUGGCUUGCUAUGGUAUAUGGUAGGCUAUAGGUUAUACUUUGUAUGAGGGAUGAUACCAAUAGUUUUAUACAGUUUUACAGGCAACAUAACAUUAUGAUUGAACCUUAAUUGACAACAUCAGUUCAUAUAUCAAUCCUUAUGAAUAGAGAAGCAUUAAAUGAAAAAUAUCACUUAAAGGGCUUGUUAAACUGUAAUUCAUGGUAAAAAAAAAUAACGCUUGUAGUAGUGAGUGAAAUAUACAACGUAUGCAUGUAUGUUAAAUAUUGAUAAUAAGAUCAGCAAACGUGUCAUGAAUGAGAACAUGUAUGCUUUACUCUCUCAGACACUCCAG